GCCAGACUCCUACGGGAGGCAGCAGUGGGGGAUAUUGCACAAUGGGGGAAACCCUGAUGCAGCAACGCCGCGUGAGUGAAGAAGUCAUUCGUGAUGUAAAGCUCUAUCAGCAGGGAAGAAAAUGACGGUACCUGAGUAAGAAGCCCCGGCUAACUACGUGCCAGCAGCCGCGGUAAUACGUAGGGGGCAAGCGUUAUCCGGAUUUACUGGGUGUAAAGGGGGCGCAGACGGCGAUGCAAGCCAGGAGUGAAAGCCCGGGGCCCAACCCCGGGACUGCUCUUGGAACUGCGUGGCUAGAGUGCAGGAGGGGCAGGCGGAAUUCCUGGUGUAGCGGUGAAAUGCGUAGAUAUUAGGAGGAACACCAGUGGCGAAGGCGGCUUACUGGACUGUAACUGACGUUGAGGCUCGAAAGCGUGGGGAGCAAACAGGAUUAGAUACCCUUGUAC
rnacentral:rRNA from 1 species